CGUAGGGGGCAAGCGUUGUCCGGAUUUAUUGGGCGUAAAGAGCGUGUAGGCGGUUAUACAGGUCCGCUGUGAAAACUGGAGGCUUAACCUCCAGACGUCGGUGGAAACCGUAUAACUAGAGUCCGGAAGAGGAGAGUGGAAUUCCUGGUGUAGCGGUGAAAUGCGCAGAUAUCAGGAAGAACACCCGUGGCGAAGGCGGCUCUCUGGGACGGUACUGACGCUGAGACGCGAAAGCGUGGGGAGCGAACAGGAUUAGAUGCCCUGGUAGUCCACGCCGUAAACGAUGGGUGCUAGGUGUGGGGGGUGUCGACUCCCUCCGUGCCGCAGCUAACGCAUUAAGCACCCCGCCUGGGGAGUACGGCCGCAAGGCUA
rnacentral:rRNA from 1 species